rnacentral:rRNA from 1 species
AUGUACAGAGAAUACAGAGAUGUUUAUGGAUUACCCAUCGCCCGUGUUUAUUCCUCAGAGACAGAGACAUGGAGCGGUCUCAUCUCUACAGAGGUUUCACGUAAUAAGUGUUCUUAUUUUGGUCCUAGCACCCUUGUUGGUAAUGUCCUUUACUGGCCUUCAUACAAUUGGGAAAACAACAUACUUGAGUUUGAUUUGGACACACAAAGCCUUACAGUGAUAAAGGGGCCUCCAGGUAUGAAUGAUUUCGACAACUUGCAGAUCAUCCAGGCAGAGGAUGGCGCCAUUGGUAUUGCCGUGUUGUCUUACCAUACCCUCCGACUAUGGCAAAGAAUGGUAAACUGCCGAGGCGUUGCCAUAUGGUUAUCGCGCAAGCUCGUUCCAUUGCGUAUCCUUCUGAACAUCCCUCCUCGAACUGAGAGGAAGAGGGAAUGUCCUCGAUUGGUGGGGUAUGAUGAGGGUACUGAUGUAAUCUUUUUAGGUAUCCACAACAGUGUCUAUAUGGUUCAACCCAAGUCAAUGCAAACCAGGAAACUAAAUGUGACCCGUUCUCCAACUUAUUGUUACCCACUCACAAGUUUCUUUCCACCAGCAAAUGCUGGAUUAGCAAAAUUCCACAUGUUUAUUGUUGCAGAGAGAGAAAGAUGA